AACGAACGCUGGCGGCACGCCUAACACAUGCAAGUCGCGCGAGAAAGUUCUUCGGAAUGAGUACAGCGGCGCACGGGUGAGUAAUGCAUAGGAACGUACCUAUAGAUGGGGAACAACCAAGCGAAAGCUUGGCUAAUACCGCAUAAUCUCGCAAGAGUAAAGAUGGCCUCUACUUGUAAGCUAUCGUCUAUAGAGCGGCC
rnacentral:rRNA from 1 species